ensembl:lincRNA
GGCCGACUUGUUGCUCCGCCUCACGCCCGACCUGCUGCUCCGCUUCACCGCCGACCUGUGCUCGCCUUACGACCGACCUGUUUCUCCGGACCUGUUUCUCCGCCUGACGGCGACCUGUUUCUCCGCCUGACGGCCGAGCUGUUGCUCCGCCUGACGCCCGAGCUGUUGCUCCGCCUGACGCCCGAGCUGUUGCUCCGCCUGACGCCUGACCUGUGCUCGCCUCACGCCCGACCUGCUGCUCCGCCUCACAGCCAGCCUGUUGAUCGGUGGACGGGAAAGCGCGCAUGGCAUCGGAAGGAGCUUGAAACGUAUAAGAUGGAUAAUUUCGUGAAAAUCAAACUAAAAGAAUGCAAUCUUGAGGAGUUAAUCCCCACAUUUGAAGCACAGGAGCGAACCUUUCCUCGUUUUUAGGUCAAUUUGAAUAGAAUUCAGAGGGGUGGCAUGGGGGCGCACUGGGUAGUGCUGUCGCCUCACAGCAAGAUGGUCGCUGGUUUGAGCCUCGGAUGGGUUUUCCGUCCACAGUCCAAUGACAUGCGGUGUAGCUGAAUUGGAUUGGGACCAAUAUUGCUGAGUAUCUUCAUCCAUUGAAUUCAAGAAUCUAUUGAGUUUCCUCAUGUUCUCGUCCUUGGAGACCACCACUUCUUUCAAGCCUUUGCUCAUGUGCUGUGCUAUUUAUUAUUGCAAAGUACAUUACUUGCUAAAGUGGACGUUUGCUAUAAAGCAUUCUACAUCUUUGGUGUGAACUACCCCAAGCAGUGUUCCCUGGUGUGGCAGACUGUGGUUUAUGGACAUCCUGGGGAGGAGACACUAGCAGUAAGGGUUCUGCUAGCAUUAAUUUUUGCUGACAAACAGUAAUCAUUAAUACUGUGACCUCACUGCUUCCUUGGAUUCUGUGUUCUUUAACUUGUACUUUGGAUUGUGGGGGAAAAGGAGCACCCGGAGAAAACCCACACAAACACGGGGAAAACAUGCAAACUCCACACAGAAACACCAACUGACCCAGCUGAGGCUUAAACCACCGACCUUGUUGCUGUGAGGCAAUCGUACUACCCACUGUGCCACCAUGACACCCAUUUCUAAAGAAUAGUUUUAAUAACUCAUUUCUAAUAACUGAUUUCUUUUUUCUUUGCUAUGAUGACGGCACAUAAUAAUGGACUAGAUAUUUUUUAAAGACACUCUACACUGCAGUUACAUUACAACUAAUGUUUCUUACAGACUCUUUUAUAUCUCAGGAUUGAUGUUUGCACAUGAUUGUUCGAGUAAAAGUUAAAAAAAGUUUUCCUAUUUCAAAUUUGUUUAAAAAUGCUUCCAUCCUCAGGUUUCAUUUUAACUUUUAUAUCUGUUUUUUCUUCAAAACUGCAUUUACAUUGAACUUGAUCAUCCUUACUGAUGAUUGCUUUAUAUCUCAUAUAUUGAUGUUGGCACAUAAUUGUUAAAGGAAAGUUAUAAAAUGUUUUCUUAUUUUUUCUUAAUAUAAAAUUUGUAUUUUCUUAGUUUUUAUUGUUUGUUUUGUUUUUUCAAGCUGUUUGAUGCCUUUUCAUUAUUACUUUCACAUAUUUUUUUCUGCAUUGCAGUUGAUGAUUUAUAUGAGAAUAUGUUGAUGUUUGUGCUCAAAUUACUUUCUGACUUCAGUCAUUUAGAAGCAUUUUCAUUAUUACUUCCUUAUACUAUUGUUUUUCUCUACUCUGCAAUAACAUUGCAAUUGCCUCUUACUGAUGAUUCCUGAUUUAUACAUGAUGCAAAUGUUUUUGAAUGUAUUUCAAAUAUGCAUUUUCUUAAGGUAAUUUGUCUGAUUUCAGUCUGAUGCAUAGUUACUGAACUUUAGUCAGUGUUUCUGUGAUACAGUUUGAUAAAUUUUCAUAGAAAUCGUCUUAACCCUUUAACUACCCUUUCAAGAAAAAAAAAAA